rnacentral:RNase_P_RNA from 1 species
GUGGGCGUUCGCUUGGUCGUAAGAUUGAGAGGAAAGUCCGGACACCGUAGGGCAGGAUUCCCCGUGAAAGCGGGGGCGCGUCUAGGAAACUAGACGUGACGGAUAGUGUCACAGAAAAUAUACCGCCCCAGGCAUGUACUGGGGUAAGGGUGAAAUGGGGAGGUAAGAGCUCACCGCUUCGAAGGUAACAAUGAAGGCAAGAAAAACCCAAUCCGGUGCAAGGCAAAAUAGGGAAUCGGGCGGCCCGUUCGAUGAUUCCGGGUAUGUCGCAUCUCACUUCGGUGGGAAUGCCACUUCGGUGGCAUAGAUAAAUGAACGCACAUCCAAACGCUUCGGCGCGUGGUGGACAAAAUCCGGCUUACAGC